AUGAACGCUGGCGGCGUGCUUAACACAUGCAAGUCGAACGAUGAAGCCCAGCUUGCUGGGUGGAUUAGUGGCGAACGGGUGAGUAACACGUGAGUAACCUGCCCUUAACUCUGGGAUAAGCCUGGGAAACUGGGUCUAAUACCGGAUAGGAGCGUCCACCGCAUGGUGGGUGUUGGAAAGACUUAUCGGUUUUGGAUGGACUCGCGGCCUAUCAGCUUGUUGGUGAGGUAAUGGCUCACCAAGGCGACGACGGGUAGCCGGCCUGAGAGGGUGACCGGCCACACUGGGACUGAGACACGGCCCAGACUCCUACGGGAGGCAGCAGUGGGGAAUAUUGCACAAUGGGCGCAAGCCUGAUGCAGCGACGCCGCGUGAGGGAUGACGGCCUUCGGGUUGUAAACCUCUUUCAGUAGGGAAGAAGCGAAAGUGACGGUACCUGCAGAAGAAGCACCGGCUAACUACGUG
rnacentral:rRNA from 1 species